GUUCCUCAUUGACCGGAAGGAUCCCUUCCAGUCAAUGAGGUAUACAUAGCUUCCUCAUUGACCGGAAGGGUUCCUUCUGGUCAAGUGGGAGC
rnacentral:miRNA from 1 species